rnacentral:rRNA from 1 species
AGUGAACGCUAGCGGCAGGCUUAAUACAUGCAAGGUUGAGGGGCAGCAUGAUAUACGCGAGUAUAUUGAUGGCGACCGGCGGACGGGUGAGUAAUAGGUAGGAGACCUACCUCAUACAGGGGGAUAGCAUAGAGAAAUCUGUGGUAAUACCCCAUGAGGUUAUAUGAAUAGAGGCAUAUAAUCAAAGCAUAAGCGAUUAUGCGGUAUGAGAGGGGCCUACUGACCAUUAGCUAGUUGGUGAGGUAAGGGCUCACCAAGGCGAAGAUGGUUAGGGGUUUUGAGAGAGAGACCCCCCACAUUGGAACUGAGAGACGGUCCAGACUCCUACGGGAGGCAGCAGUAGGGAAUAUUGGGCAAUGGGCGAAAGCCUGACCCAGCCAUGCCGCGUGAAGGAAGACGGCCUUAUGGGUUGUAAACUUCUUUACUACGCGAAUAGAGGUUAGUACGAGAUACUAAUAGGAAGGUAGUGUAGUAAAAAGCACCGGCUAACUCCGUG